GUAGGGUGCGAGCGUUGUCCGGAAUUAUUGGGCGUAAAGAGCUCGUAGGCGGUUUGUUGCGUCUAUCGUGAAAACCUGCGGCUUAACUGUGGGCUUGCGGUGGAUACGGGCAGACUUGAGUUCGGUAGGGGAGACUGGAAUUCCUGGUGUAGCGGUGAAAUGCGCAGAUAUCAGGAGGAACACCGGUGGCGAAGGCGGGUCUCUGGGCCGAUACUGACGCUGAGGAGCGAAAGCGUGGGGAGCGAACAGGAUUAGAUACCCUGGUAGUCCACGCUGUAAACGUUGGGCGCUAGGUGUGGGGAGCAUUCCACGUUCUCCGUGCCGUAGCUAACGCAUUAAGCGCCCCGCCUGGGGAGUACGGCCGCAAGGCUA
rnacentral:rRNA from 1 species